rnacentral:rRNA from 1 species
CAUAAUCUCUGAGGAGAAAAGCAGGGGAUCGCAAGACCUUGCGCUUUUGGAGCGGCCGAUGUCUGAUUAGCUAGUUGGUGAGGUAAAGGCUUACCAAGGCUUCGAUCGGUAGCUGGUCUGAGAGGACGACCAGCCACACUGGGACUGAGACACGGCCCAGACUCCUACGGGAGGCAGCAGUGGGGAAUUUUGGACAAUGGGGGAAACCCUGAUCCAGCCAUGCCGCGUGAGUGAAGAAGGCCUUCGGGUUGUAAAGCUCUUUCAGCCGGAACGAAAAGGUUACGGUUAAUACCCGUGACUAAUGACGGUACCGGAAGAAGAAG